rnacentral:tRNA from 1 species
GGGCGUGUAGCUCAGUUGGUUAGAGCGCACGGUUCACAUCCGUGAGAUCUGUGGUUCGAAUCCGCACACGCCCA